ensembl:misc_RNA 7SK 7SK RNA
GGAUGUGAAGGCGAUCUGGCUGCGACAUCUGUCACCCCAUUGAUCGCCAGGGUUGAUUCAGCUGAUCUGGCUGGCUAGGCGGGUGUCCCCUUCCUCCCUGACAGCCAUGUGCAUACCUCCCAAAGCUGCGCGCUGGGUCGAAGAAGACGGCCAUCCCCCAUAGAGGAGAACCGGUCUUCGGUCAAGAGUAUGCCAGUAGCUGCAUUCCCCUGCUAGAACCUCCAAACAAGCUCUCAAGAUUUGCAGUACAGAAAACUAAGAGAAACAAAACAAAAACAAAAAGAAUGAACUGCCUACAGGGUCUAAUAAGAACUUCUUGUUU